AGAGUUUGAUCCUGGCUCAGAAUCAACGCUGGCGGCGCGCUUAACACAUGCAAGUCGAACGAGAAAGGGGAGCAAUCCCUGAGUAAAGUGGCGUACGGGUGAGUAACACGUGGAUCAUCUACCCUUUUGUGGGGAAUACCGCUGGGAAACCGGCGACAAUACCGCAUAAGCUCGAGAGAGGAAAGCCGAAAGGCGCUGGAGGAGGAGUCCGCGGUCGAUUAGUUAGUUGGCAGGGUAGAAGCCUACCAAGACUGUGAUCGAUAGCCGGCCUGAGAGGGCACACGGCCACACUGGCACUGAAACACGGGCCAGACUCCUACGGGAGGCAGCAGUGGGGAAUCUUGCACAAUGGGGGCAACCCUGAUGCAGCGACGCCGCGUGAGUGAUGAAGCCCUUCGGGGCGUAAAGCUCUUUCGACGGGAACGAUAAUGACGGUACCCGAAGAAGAAGCUGCGGCUAACUACGUGCCAGCAGCCGCGGUAAUACGUAGGCAGCGAGCGUUGUUCGGAAUUACUGGGCGUAAAGAGUGUGUAGGCGGUGCUCUAAGUCUGUUGUGAAAUCUCCCGGCUCAACUGGGAGGGUGCGGCGGAAACUGGAGUGCUCGAGUGUGGGAGAGGUAAGCGGAAUUCCUGGUGUAGCGGUGAAAUGCGUAGAUAUCAGGAGGAACACCUGUGGUGUAGACAGCUUACUGGACCACGACUGACGCUGAGACACGAAAGCGUGGGUAGCAAACAGGAUUAGAUACCCUAGUAGUCC
rnacentral:rRNA from 1 species